CGCAGUGAAGGUCUUGGAAGCGUUUUCCCUAAUUGUGUUUGUGCGUCGUUGGCGGAAGAGUCUGGUUCAGCAAACACUGUCGUUCAGCCUCCGUGGUUCGCUAAGACCUUCAUCUGGUUGGAAAUCCCCAUUUCUGAAACCCUAGGUUGGUUUCUUCCAUAAGCUCGACAUCCAAUUGCCUUCCGGACCUGACUGGAGAUUCACGUUUUG